CCGCCGGGGCGGAGCCAGCGCGGGAGCCGGUCCCGACGCCGGAGACCCCCGCCCCCGCGCGGGCGAUGCCGAGCGGCGCGGCGAGCGGCGGGGCUGGGGCGGGGCGCGCAGAGGAGCGGGCCGCGUCUCGGAGGCGGCCGAAGCGCGGCCCCGCCAUGGGCUUCUUGCACCAGCUGCAGCUGCUGCUCUGGAAGAACGUGACGCUGAAGCGCCGGAGCCCGGUGAGCGACCCUGCGCGCCGCGGGCCUGUCGGGAGUCGGAGGCCGCGCGCACCGUGGCCAGCGGCGCGCUCCCCGCGCGCACGUGCGGCCGGCGGGACGGGCGCGCGCAGACCCCGGACGGAGCGGGCGGCGGGCGGGCGUCCUUUCCCAGCCGUGCCCCGCCUGCCCGCCCCUGCCGCGCUGCGGCCUCCGGGGAAGGGACUCGACCGAGCCCAGUCCGCCGCCCGCGCCCGUUGACAUUCACGGUGCUCGGCUGAGUCACGGGACGGGCGCCCUCCGCAGCGCGCUCUUCGCUCUCCCGGGCCAGCUGCGGGGGUGGGGGUGGGGGCGGCCCCAGGGACCCUGGGGUCGCGGGAGCCCCUGCUUCCCCGGACGGAGGGCUGGCUUGGGGGACUCGAUCCAGCUCAGAAGCUCUAUGGUCUCUGGGCCCAGGCCCCCUGGAACCCCUGCAGGGACCCUGUCCCUUCCCUCCCUACACCACUCCUCUGCCCUUGGGCAGGCACUCCUCCUCCUCCUCGUCCUCCUCCUCCUGGUCAUAAAGAAGAUAGAUCCGCCUCCUCCUCCUCCUCCUCGUCCUCCUCCACAUCCUCGUCUCCUCUACAUCCUCCUCCUCCUCCACAUCCUCCUCCUCGUCCUCCUCCUCCAUGUCCUCCUCCUCCUCCUCCUCCACACCCCGCGAUCACGUCCACUAGCCCUGGCUAGUGCUUUCUCACCACCGGGAAUGUCCUUGCUGUGCCACCCCCGGCCAGCCCAAGUCCCUGCACCCUUUUGUCCUUUGGGGCUAUCUUCCCUGAGGCUGAUCCACUCUCUGAUUCUCCCUUCCAGGCUCCUCUAGGGGCCAGGUCCUGCUGCUUGGAGCUAUGACCACCACGUUCCCCAGCUCUGCCCUGUGCCUGGGGCAGCCCAGGUCCUGAGGGUGCGGGGCACAGCCACUGUCAGGGACAGAAGCCCUGGUGAGAAGCAGGGCUGGGGCAGUAUGGAUGUCAUCAUGCUGGCCAUCACCGCCUCAGCCCUGGGCAGGGCAGGGGCGUCUCCUGCUGGCCUGCCUAGCCAGCAGCAGCACACACACCAGAGAAUCCUGGGCAGCUCGGGUUUCUGAACAAGCCCGGGGGAUUUUCCAGGAUGGGGCCCAGAAGGGGCUGGGGUCAGGACCCUGAGAAGGAAGCAUCCUCUUGCCUACUUGGGGCCUGGGAGGCUCCUGUCUCAUCUGGCCCUGGGACCCUUUGGGCCGACCAGCUCCUGCCUGGGUCCCUCCUUGAGAAGGGCUUCAAAGUGCACAAUGGGAACCCCGGGGCUGCGGACAGGGCAGGGUGGCCUUCAUCACCAUGGCCUGGCAGGAUUCCCCUGGGCACCUGGCCCUGGCAGGGAGCCAGGGUCAGGUACACUCCCUGCCCAGCGUGCCUGGGGCUGGCUGGCUGGGUCCUGUGGAUCAGGCCUGCAGCCCCAGGCGGCCUCUGGUGCAGCUUCUUCUGCCUCAGGUUCUGGGUCACUGGGGACAGCAGGGCGGGGCUCAGGGGGAGGGGCAUUGAGAUGUGGGCAUGCAUCAGUAUCAGCCUCGGGCUCUUGGCAAGAAGGACCCACUGGGGCUGGGAGCAGGAGCUAGAAUGAUGGCCCCUGCAUCCACUGGGGACCCCAAGGUUCAGGGCAGGAAGCAGUGGCUUGUGGGGCACCCGGCAAGCAGGUGAGAGGUGCCCACUGUCCUGUAUCCAGGAGUGGCCUCCACCUGUUAGGUUGGGCCUCCCCAAAAGCUCCCUGUGCCCCUGCCCCAUGGUGUUUGCAGGGGCUGGUUAGAGCACAUGGAGAUCCUUAGCCUGUGGCUACAGCGAACCAGAAAUUCUUUCUCCAGGGUGGCUGAGGGCUUGCCGAGCUCACAAUGUGGGGCUGGGGCUGGGGCUGGCCCGAUGCUGGGCAUGUUCCUGCCAGACCCCCACUUUCCCAGGAGGGUCUUGGGCUUCAGAGUUGGACCCUUGGGCUUGGCCAGCAGAGGUUUUGCCUGCAUGCUGGUGGCCUCGCUGAGGGGGAUGUGCCCUGCGGAAAGCCUGCCUGGUCUGGAGGGGAGGCACCCAGGGCCUGGGUGCCUUGCUUGCUCCCUCUUCCUAAGCUCUGUGCCUCAGUUUCUCAUCUGUGAGUGUGGCCUAUCCCCUCCCUGUUAGCUGGAUGUGGGUCUACGGUGGGGCCACAGGCUGCUCCUGGUGGGGGGACCAGGUCGCUGUCUCUAGGUUGCUGGGGUGGGAGGCAGAACUCCCCCCUCAGGUCUCAUCUGCUCUGCCCUUGACAAAGCAGGAGGGGAUGCAGGCCUGGCCAGGGCACCCAGGCCCCAGGGACUUCAUUGGGGCACCAGGGACAGGGAUUGGACCACCUUGCAGGGCUCCGGGUGGGGUGCCUAGGUCAGGUGUCCAGAUGGGGCUGAACCUGUGUUGCCUGCCUGUAACCAGAUGCCCCUCUGGCUGCCCGCCUGCCCAGCAGGCCUCUCCUCUCCCUCCCUGCAGCUCAGCUCGUGCGCGGCCGCUGCUAUAGCAACCAGGAGGCAGCCACGGCCUGUUGCUGCAGUUACGCGGUGGAGGUGCCCGGUGGCAGGUCGGGUGUGGGUGGGGCUGGCACCGUAGCUGUGACCCCAGCCUCUUACAUCGCCGCUUGCAUGCAGCCACCCUUGCUCUGUGUGUGUGUGUGUGGCAUGCGCCUCUCCCCAGCCCCAUGGGUGCCCAUGAUGUCUCCCUGGCCAGCCCUGGGCUAGAUCCAGGCUUGCGGAGGGGGUGUUUGGUGGAGGCUGGCACGGGCCGGGGUGGGUGUGGGGCGUGGACACACAGCAGGGUGUUCCACACCACAGAGCGCUAUUGUCAAAGCACAGUAAACAGGGCAGCAGCUGCCCCACCCCAGGGGACUGGGGGCCGGGCCAGAGUGCCGUGGGGGUGGGGGCUCUGAAGUCUGUUUUGUCGGGGAAGUGUGAGGAUGAAGGAAACCUGGGGCAUCUGAAAAGAGCUGGUCGGGGUGGGGGUUGGGGUACAUCCUCGCCUGCUCAGGGUGCUCCCCCAAAGAGCAGCUGGCCUGAGGUCCUCCUCCUCCUUCCACUCCUCCCCACCCCAGCUGGAGUAGGGGAGUGAGAACAAUGAAGUCCUUCCCUUUUCCAGGUGAAACAAGGGGAAGUGGGGCCCCUGGAGGCUCUGGCAUUUCUUUCCCAUACAGAGCAGGGCCCACCAGGGCUCACCUUGGUGCCAGGUGGUGGGAGCCAUCCUGGGAACACUGAGCAAAGGCCCCCAGCAGGCAGGGCUGCCACGCCCACCUGAGCCAUCUGGGGUGAGGGAGAGGGGCCAGGGCAGAAGGAGGUGCUUGGGGAACUGGGAGGUGUCAGAACCCUGCCCAGGUCUUCCUGGAGGCUCAGGUGGGCUAGAACCAGACCACCCCAGUGCCAUGCCGCGUCUCCCUAGGCCCUUGUGUGGGGGCAUAGUGGCGUGGCAAUGGUGGGGAGGAGGGCUGACCCCAGGGAGUGUGGGAGCUGCAGGUUGGCAGAGGCCACCUCCGAGAUCUGCCCAGAUGGUCCUGCAGGUGGGGAAGAAGAUGAGCUGGGCAGAUGCAUGGGUUAGCGUGGACUCAUGCUGGCGGAUUUGCCCCUGCUGGCCCUCAGUGUGGCAAGCAGAAUCUGGGCUGCAGGGCUGGAGACCUGAUCGCUUGGGCCAGACAGCGCUUGCCCUCUCGCCCUUUGUAAAGGCCCUGGAGGAGGGAGCUGCAACCUCCAUUGGCCCUGGAGAGCCUGUGUUGACCUCUGGCCCCUGGGGGAGCAUGCAGGGUCCAGGCUGGGCUGGCCCUUCGGGGGGGGGGGUGAGGGGGAGUGUCUGUCUAUCUGGCAGGGAGAGGAAGUCUUGGGUCUGUCCUGUCCAGCCCUGGGCAGGGGGCAUGGGAGGCCAGGCUGCCCUGCACAGGUGGCCUCACUCAGCCUGCCCUCUCUAGUGGGUCUUGGCCUUCGAGAUCUUCAUCCCUCUGGUCCUCUUUUUCAUCCUGCUGGGCCUUCGGCAGAAGAAACCGACCAUCUCUGUGAAGGAAGUCUGUAAGUGAGCGGCCGCCUCCUUCUUGCUGGCCCCAGGCGGCAGCCACAGGAUGGCCCUGCGGGGCCUCCUGGUACAGCUUGAGCAACUCCCCACCCCAGCCCCCGCCUGCAUUAACAGCCUGUCCCUGGCCAGCGGGGUCCUGCAGAGCCCCCUGCCCACUGUCAGGAACAGCUGGCUCUCGGUGGGGGUGGGGAGUGGGUAGUGAAGGGCCGGGCCACCUGGCCACAGUGGCUCAUGCA
rnacentral:lncRNA from 1 species